rnacentral:rRNA from 1 species
CAGCCGCCGCGGUAAAACGUAGGUGGCAAGCGUUGUCCGGAAUUAUUGGGCGUAAAGGGCUCGCAGGCGGUUUCUUAAGUCUGAUGUGAAAGCCCCCGGCUCAACCGGGGAGGGUCAUUGGAAACUGGGAAACUUGAGUGCAGAAGAGGAGAGUGGAAUUCUACGUGUAGCGGUGAAAUGCGUAGAGAUGUGGAGGAACACCAGUGGCGAAGGCGACUCUCUGGUCUGUAACUGACGCUGAGGAGCGAAAGCGUGGGGAGCGAACAGGAUUAGAUACCCCUGUAGUCCCUGUCUCUUAUAC